GGGCUCUUUUUUCAUUAUGAAAUCUUGUUGAGCGCUUCCAGUCUAUGAGAGCUAACUAGUUAGCCACUAGCAAAACACUAAGGCGAGCUAGCAGCUUGACAAGCAAAUACCAGACGAUUAAUAGUAGCUGUAGUAUAGUUGUACAAGCAGUAGUAGUAAUACUAAAAGUACAAGCAGCAGUAGUGUAAAAUAGCUGUUAGAGUCAUAGAAGUAGUAUCAGCAUUUGUAAUAAUAUUACAAUUUGUAGUAGCAGUGCCAGUAUCAGCAGCAGUAUUUACUGUACCACCACUAGUACUAGUAGUAGUCACAUUGCUAUUACUACCACCAAUACUACCAAUAGUAUUUAUAAAGCCUAACUCAUAUAUAUCCAGAUUACCAUUUAUGUUCUUCCUCCAAACCCAUUUUAUGAUUGGGAUUACAGGCAGUUCUUUAGGACUGCUCUCAAAUAAUUGAAAUGUUACUAAACAAGGUUAUACUUAUCAAAUUAAAUAGCUCUGGUCUCCAGUAUAUUGGCGAAUUCGGUUCUUUGUACUUAAUUUAUUGGCAUGAUUUUUUUUUUAAAAUAUGUUGUGUACAGACACUUACUUCUCUGUCUACUUUUCUUACUCCAUGUAGGUUUCCCAGAGACUAUGGGUUGAGGAGGAAUUGGAAGUUUGUCGGCUUAGACCUGGUGUCAUUCCAUCAGUGUUAAACUUCCCGGCUCAUCUUGGAAGAGUACGUGCCAGAAAGACCACGACCAAGCAGCCUUGAGAUCUUAGACAGCGUCUCCCUGAGGUCCCUCUCUAUCUCCCUACACAUCCACCAACCACUGGAACACAUCUCCAAAGUUCUGCCGGGCCAGCUCAGCUUCCCCUCAGAAGAAGUGCAACCACCUGCCAGAUGAAGGAGCGUUUUGAGAGGCAGCUGGCAUCGUGAUUGGACUGUACUUUGGUCUGUUCCAAUCCAGCUUCAGCUCCAGAGACGGCAGGCGGGACGAGUCAACGGAGGCCUGGUGGACGAAGACAUGCAGCUGAGUACAAUCCAGAAAACAACAGAGGAGGAGUGCAGGGCCAGAACAAGCAGAGUAGCAUCACCAAAGAACUACAGACUCUUCACAACCUGCUCAAACUCUUGGUACAGGACCUCACCACACGGGUCAAGAAGGUUUCCGUCUCAUUUCUACUCUGAAGCUCACCUUCUCCUGCUCAAACUGCUGACAAAUGUUUCUGCUGCUCUAAAGUCUGGUCUCCAGAACUUUCUAAAAACUCUCAAAGUCUCUUCUGCUGCAGGUUGCUUUGUAGAACUGUUGCAGAAAACCUCACUAAACCACAUGGAGGAGCCUCAAGAUAGUCGUCCAAAUGAAACCAUACAAAAACCAAACUAGCACAACCCAAACGCUAAAGUCUCCUGCAGCCUACCAGAGAACCUCUGAGAACAGAGAAUCAGGACAGGAACUCUUACCUUCUGGACAACCAACGCUGGUUCACAAACAAGAACACAGAAUGUGUCUGACCAAAAACCUCUAAAGACUCACUACAGCCAAGAUAAAGUCACAACUCAGCUGCACCAAAUCCACUAAUCACUGCACACAUUAGCACCAUGUGCUAACUGUGGCUAAAGAACCACAUGUACCAAGACAACUAUCCAGUACAAAGCCCUAAAACACACCAAGAAACACAUUAAAGUCUAUUUUACUGCUGGAAGCUGCAAGCCAAUGCCUAAAGAACAAACUAAAGCAAUGGAGCCAAACAGUGGUGAAGAGAAGCAGAGGAAAUGUUUGUCUGCAGCUAAAUAAAGCAGGAAGAGACUGAGCUGCUCAGGUGUUCCUGAUAACACCAAGCAGCUGCUCAGGUGUUCCUGAUAACACCAAGCAGCCACCUGGACAGCCAAUAGGAACACAGCUUACUGGAAGUCCAGAGGGCUGAGUUAGUGAAGGAAAUUUAGUUUAAAGUUGAAGCAGAAAGUUACAGAAAGUUGAAAACCACCUUCUGAUACCUGAAAUCUCUGAGUUUUCACACAAAGAACACCUGAACAUGUCAAACUGGUUCCAUAGUAGAACCAUCAUUGUAAAAACGUCAUAGUGUGGUGUGUUGCUCAAAAAACAUUAGGACCCGGCUGUUAGGGGACAAACAUGUAAGAAACAUGAGAACAGAGAGAACCCAACCAGUAGGUCACAGUUUAUCAUCCCCCAGUCAUCUCCUGAAGUCCAUAUGGUGAGAGACAUCAGUAUCUGGUUGUUAAUUUACCAGAGGAUGCUUAUAAUCAUGCUGAUGUGGUCUGUACUCUACAGUAUUUUAGUGACUCAAUAAAUGCCUAAGUUGUUUUUUUAAAAUGCUUUUUAGUUUUUAAUAAAUAUUUAAUAGCCUAUAUGUGAUCAAUAAAUGGCCUUUGCCUAUCUUAAGAAAAACUCAGAACUCUAUGUAAACAGUACUAAAUAAAUCAAUAAAUACAUGCAUACACACAAAAAUAAGUUAAUACAUUAACUGUGUUAAGAUAAGAUUUAGAUUUUUUAAAAAGUUGUUUAUGUUUUUGCAGAAUCCAGUAUUGCUCACUGGUUGAUCAUUACAUUUUGUUAGUUUGAUUUCACUGUUUAAAAUGAUGCCACCUCUUUUCAGACAGAACCUGUGAUAAUAAAACAAUACAAAAUUUUUAGUUCCGUGUUAAUAAAGCACUUAAAGCUUUAAGUAUGGCUAAAUGCUUUUUUUCAGAAUUAAAUAUAUCACUCCUUAGGUGGUAGUGGCCCCAAGUUCAGUAAAGUUGGAAAGAUAUUCACAGAUUCGGACUUCCAGCAUCAAUAACUCAUUAGAUAUAGGUUGUCAAAACAUAAACGGUGCCUCUUUCCCAUUGUUGCAAGGCAGACAAUGUGCUACAAGCCCAGUUUUAUCAAAAGUAGCUGUCUUUCAAGCUACAGGAAUAACAUUGGUGUCUAUGGAGUGAACAGGGUCCGUCUGCAAUUUGCAAAACCGCUGCAACAGUAAAGAGAGACAAAUAUUCAAUAACUUCACUCUUAUACAUUGUAGUGUCACUAAAAUCACUGCAGCCUUCAACUGGCUCCUGUUGACAAAGUGUUUUAACAAAUGUAAAUGCUGUAAUUUGAUUCUUUUAAUGAACCAUGUAACUUGAAUGGAUGCGAUGCUGGUGUGACCACAGUGCACACGUCUGAUGUUGCUCACAGUGGUCCAAGGAACGCUCAGGGAGUUUGUGUGUUUGCUCAGACUCAGGAAAAAUUAGAGGGAACAUUGGUUGGUACUGUCAAAAGAAUUUUAAAUACAACGACUGAAGUUUUGUUUCAAUUAUCGUACUUUAAUAUGUGUCCAUAAAUGUGUCCAAAUCAAGAUAAUAAUGCACAUUUCUGUCUUUAUAUAGAAAUUCACCUAGAUUUUGUCGUUAUCUUAUAUGCAAAAUGUAAAACUAUGACUAAACUUUUGAGGAUAGUUGCACUAGAAAAGAAGAAAAAGUUGGGUAAAAAUGAAACUUUGGAAGACUCCACAGCAAGUUACUUGCCAUGCACUGUAUAAUGCAUUACGGUCUCUUAUCCUGUGGAGCAGUAAGAUAGAUGAUCGCUACAGAGGCCCCUGACAAUGGCUAUAGUGUUCUGUAAUUCCUCUUGGUAUCUACAGUAGUCUACACAAUCAUAUUUGCCUUAUUCGAAACCUCCCUCAGACAAAAAACAGAAGGCCGACCUCUCUUGGCUCUCCUGUCAGAUGCCCAAACAGAGGCCACUUUGUUUUGGUAAGUUUUUGUUGUUAUUUCCCGUCUCAGAAUAUUCGACGAUCAUACAAACUGGGAAAUGACGAGGCCAUAAAUUUCUUUAAGGUUUCAAAUUGAUCGGAGUCUAAAACUCCACUGUUUUCUUGACUACUUCGUUGUUGUGUGGCUUUUUUUUUCCAGGUUUAAAAUGGUUAGAAUGGUUAAAUCUAAAAAAAUGAGUUUUGAAGCCAUCUUCCCUGUUCAAAUAAUGGGAUGUCCUUGCAAACGUAAUGCAUGUAAACACUUGGCCUAGACAGCAUUGACAUGCAGAGUACUGGUAAUAAUCAUAUUAAUGUAAUAAUAGAAAUUUUUAUUAUUCAGCAAAUUGGAUUUGCAUAAAAUUAUUGCAUUCUAAUGUAUGCAUUUAUGAGAUAAACUGCAAAAAAGAAAACAAAAGCAAAAGCAUUUGUUAUGUAUGGCCCUCGGGCUGAUCUAAUAGUGCAGCUCUGCAAAAAUAGUUUUAUUUUCCUGAACAGAUUCAUUCAUUUAUUCAUUAAAAUGUGUUCACUGUUGCCAAACAAACUUGCAAGGGGAGCCUAAAAAGCGACGCAGGGAGGAAAUAGGAGAUGAGACGAGCCUGGCUUUUUUGAAUAUGAGGGAUAACAAGAAAAGUUGCACUCCAAACUGCAAAAAAAAAAAUCCUCUGAUCUGACAUGUUGAUCACACAAUCCUCUCUGCAAGAGACCUGGGGCUCAUGUUUUUGGCUCAAGGCUUAUUUGGUUUAUUAGUGAAUGUGGGGGUGGCAUAGCACAAAAUGGCUUACCUCAAAGCAGGCCUGCACAAUAGUUAUGACAAGGUAUGCAUACCUCAAGCUCUAAUUGGACAGGCACACAAAAUUUCAUGCAAAUCCGUCCAAAGAAGGCACUGAGCAGUUACAAGCUAAUCCGAGGAUGAAUGUGUUUAAUACAUUUGAUAUGUGUCUUUAUUAGGCUACUCUGAAAUAUUUCACUUUAUUUUUUUGACAUUUAAGUGUGAAAUCCUGAGCUUUGGACAGCAGAAAACAUGUUUUUACUCAUAAAAUUACUGGUUGUGAGCAAGUACUUCGCAGCCUCUCAAUAGAUAUUAGAAAAUCUGACCACGUUGUUGUAAUUUUGUCACAACCCUAAUUAUAGUUGCAAUUAUAGAAUAAAAACAUACUGUGUAAAACAAUUAAAAGCAAUAUAAAAUUCUACCUUCCAUCGCUAGAAACAGAUAUUUCACUAAAAAAAGAAGUCACGGUCAGUAAAUUUGAUAGACAGCAAUAUGGAAGAGCAUUUCUUAGGGGGCAUACUGGGCUACAAGAGACAUGUUUUACUGAGACUUUGAUGUUUCUUUGAUGAAUGUAUGGUAAUCUGGUACUAAACAGCCAUUAGACAAUUUUAAAUGUAAAUGCAAUUUUAAACAGCUUACAUGGGGAAAGUUAGUCAGAUAUAUGCAGAAGAAAGACAUACGGCAAUAUAUACUCAUUCAUUAGUUUAGUGUGUAUAAUAUUUGAUGAUGUGCCUUUUUAUGGACAAUGUGUUGCAUUUCCCAUAAGUUUAUUUGAUUUCUGUUGUGCUAUUGUGUUCAUCGACAAGAUGAGACACUUUGAAACGAAUGAAAGAUGUAUGUUAUGAAUUUUAUGUGUUUUUUAUUUUUGCAGUUUUUUCUGAGUUGCUGAAGAGAGAGAAGGAUAAAAUAAAUAUUCAAAAACAUUUGU